rnacentral:lncRNA from 1 species
GGCGGGGGACCCCUGAAGUUCACCAAGAUCGAACGCCCUGGCUGUCCGUAACUUCCCAGAACACGGGGUGGCCUGAACCGCCAAGGGAGUCCGUUUUCACGACGUUUUCACGACACCCAGCCGCUCUGCUCACCGGCGCCCCCGGGCGGCAGCGGCGAGCACGAACAGCUAAGGCCCGCAGGUACACAAACCCGUGGACAGGAGAAACCUGCUUAUUCUAAGUCUGAACUAGUAACAAAUCAGUUCACUGUUCUAACCUUACAAAUGCUCCUACCAUUUUGUUAUAGCGUUGAGCUUGAACCCAGGGCCUUGAAUCCAGGUCGGGCAAGAACCAAACCAGUGAAAGGCCACCACGUGGU